AUUGAACGCUGGCGGCAUGCUUUACACAUGCAAGUCGAACGGCAGCACGAAAGAGCUUGCUCUUUUGGUGGCGAGUGGCGAACGGGUGAGUAAUGCAUUGGAACGUACCGAGUAAUGGGGGAUAACUGUCCGAAAGGAUAGCUAAUACCGCAUACGCUUUGAGAAGGAAAGUGGGGGCUCUUCGGACCUCACGUUAUUCGAGCGGCCGAUGUCUGAUUAGCUAGUUGGUGGGGUAAAGGCCUACCAAGGCGACGAUCAGUAGCGGGUCUGAGAGGAUGAUCCGCCACACUGGGACUGAGACACGGCCCAGACUCCUACGGGAGGCAGCAGUGGGGAAUUUUGGACAAUGGGCGCAAGCCUGAUCCAGCCAUGCCGCGUGUCUGAAGAAGGCCUUCGGGUUGUAAAGGACUUUUGUUAGGGAAGAAAAGGAUAGUGUUAAUACCAUUAUCUGCUGACGGUACCUAAAGAAUAAGCACCGGCUAACUACGUG
rnacentral:rRNA from 1 species